UACGAAGGGGGCUAGCGUUGCUCGGAAUCACUGGGCGUAAAGGGUGCGUAGGCGGGUCUUUUAAGUCAGGGGUGAAAUCCUGGAGCUCAACUCCAGAACUGCCUUUGAUACUGAGUAUCUUGAGUUCGGGAGAGGUGAGUGGAACUGCGAGUGUAGAGGUGAAAUUCGUAGAUAUUCGCAAGAACACCAGUGGCGAAGGCGGCUCACUGGCCCGGUACUGACGCUGAGGUGCGAAAGCGUGGGGAGCAAACAGG
rnacentral:rRNA from 1 species